rnacentral:lncRNA from 1 species
UAAUUUCUCUAUUUGCAUAUUUGGGUCUCCCAUAAACACAGCCCUAGUCUGGGUGCAGGUACAUGGCAUGCUCAGCUGUGUCAUGGAGCACCACAUGCCAUCAAGGCAGCAGCAUGCCCAACUAUGUCUGAUGUGGCUGCCAGGUGGUGGUGGCAGGCACUAAGCCAGGGACAGGAGGGGUGGCCUUUUUACAGCACUGGGCUGGCACUCAAAUAAUCUCCACUUCUGCCCCACAUAUGGAAAUCUUGGUGGUCUUGGCAUGUAACUCCUCCAGAAAGGCACCUGGUGUUUCGCUGGUGUGUCUCAGGGGCCUGCUGGUAACAACCUGAGCCUAUACUUAAUUGCAGAGGGACCAGCAGGAGUUACUGUUUCUUGAUGGAAUUGGAGAGAGUUUGGGCUUCUUUUUCUUUUCCCUUAGAAUUAUUACGGAUUUUAAAAGUCAAGUUUAACAAGAAAGGCAAAUGAGUUUUAAAACAUAAGUUUUGGUCAUCAUUCCCAUUUUAGGUGAGAUGUUUGAGCGGAUGCUCUUUGGUCUCUCAGAGCCAGAAACGCUACAGUGGUAUCACCUCCUCUUCUUUGGUGCCUCAGCCAGACCCUGCCUGUGGACCCUGCUGCUGAGAUGCAAUUUAUUCCUCUUCCCUCCAAAGCUCAGAGCACUUGCCAGAUACUGAACUGAAAGUUCC